GGGCCGUUAGCUCAGUUGGCAGAGCGCACGCAUGGCAUGUGUGAGGCCGCCGGUUCGAUCCCGGCACGGUCCACAA
rnacentral:tRNA from 2 species